rnacentral:lncRNA from 1 species
AACGGGAGUUUGGAAGGAUUCACAAUGGCAAGCCUGAUUCCUGAAGUUUUCUAGGUGAGCAUGGUUGUCUCCUUUUCAAGUUAACAACUUAUUUAUAUUAAUUUUGCUGCUAUUGAUUGUCAGUUGCAAGUUUCGCAAUUCAAUUUAUGUGUUACUACAUCUGGGAACGUGCGUUGCACGUUUAUCCCAAAAUACUUUAUAUAAAUUUUGUAUUGCAAAUAACAUAUUCUAUCCCCUCUAAAUCUAUAGUAUUUACUAAAAAAAAAUUCAUCACAUAUAUCUUUAUAAAUAUAUAUAUAUAUAUAUGAUUAUUAAAUUGACUAAAAGUGUAUAGAGUAAAAAUAACUUCCAAGUAAUAGUCAUCAGUUAGAUGAGAUAAUAGAUGUAGAUAGAGAUAUAGAAAUAUUCAAGCAAAAUAAAUUAAAAUUAUUAAAUCCACAAGUUCUAUAUAAUACAGGACUAUUUUCGUCAAUAGCACACUUAUACAGACAUUAUAGAGAAGAACAAUUGAGUGUAUCAGAAAACGAUAGUGAAAGUAUAAAUUUAAUUAGUAAAUAAUCUAUGCAAGAAAUACAAAAAAGACGAAUGAAUCUCAUGCAUAUGAGAUUGGUAGUAAUCGGACUUAAAGGUUUAACUAGAAAAAAUUUAGGUACUAAAGUAUUAAUCACUUUAUAUGAUAGUAGAUGGUCAGAAUCUAAAAGAUCCAUAAUAGGUUUAACAGAAGUCGACAUGAGUAAUAAUGGAGGAAUUUUUUACUGUAGUCCAGAUUUCAUGAUAAAUUCAAAAGAAUUUGGAAAAUACAUAAAAAUAGGCAUACAAACCAAGGGUUACGAAGAAAUGAACUGUGGAAACAAUCUAUUAGUUUGUGUUGGCUUCAUAGGAAAAUUAGCAACCAACAGUAGUUCAAGGUUUAAAAUAAAAAUAGACAAUGCGGUAGGCAUAAUGGGAAAUAAAGGAAUAAAAUUAAUGAAACUUUUAAAAAUAAAUUCAGAAGAAUAUGCAGGUAGAGAAUGGAAUUUAGAAAAAUUCUAUAAAAAAGAAGUGUUAAGACCAAAUGACCACCUCACAUACACAAAUAAUAAAGGUGAGACAUCAAUCAGAUUCACUGAUUAUAAAUAUACAAAUCAAAAGAAAUAGAUGAAGAUUUAGAAGAUAAUGAAUCAACCAUAAAUAUGGAAGGAAUGAAUGUUCAGAUCAAUAAAGAAGAAGACUAUGAAGUAGAUAUAUCAAUAGCAAAAGCUAAAGAAAUACACAAGUCAAAUAAAGAAAAUUUAUUUAAAUGUAAAGGAUGUAAACUAGGAAAACUAAAAUUUUCUAUAGUAGAAAAACACUUCAAAGAGUGUAAUUUUAGAACAGACAAUUAUGGAUUUCGCCAGAAAGAAAAAACACAGGAAGAAAGUGAUGAUGAAACAACACGUAGUUUAAAAGAAUUAGAUGAAAGCGAUGAUGAAACAACACGCAGUUUAAAAGAAUUUAUGGAAACCGCUUCUUCAAGCUCAAGUCCCUUCCAAAAGACAACCCCAAUACCACCAAUAGAAUAUACUAUAGGUAAUUUACCACAACACCGUGUAUUUAGACAAGACCCGAUGACAGAACCAGAAAUGGUUAGACCUAUAGGAAUAAUAAUGCCAAUAGAAGCCCCCAUCAAACUCCAAGACAGGGGAGAUAGAUGAAAAAUACUAAAUAUAUCGGCUCAUGACCCUCAAUUAUGGAACUCAGUACUAGAUGUAUGGAAAGGAGUAGUAGUAGCAGACAACAUACACCAUUAUAGUGAAACAGAUGCAGAAACUAUGUAUAGAUACAUGGAAACCUUUCUAGGAGAAUCAAUCAAAGGAGUAUGGGAAGAAUAUAAGGUAGCUUACCCUCAAGAAUUCCAAGAACUAGUAAAUAUAGGACCAAACUCGUAUAAUUUUACUAAUAAAAUACACAGCCUGAUAACAGGAGAAGACCCAAAUAGCGGAUUAGUAGUGUUACAAAAGAAUGCACUAAUAAAAUUAGAACAACUUAGCAAAACAAAUUGGAGUCAUAUAAAGAAUUUUUUAAAAGACUAUUUUUACUAUUGCGCUAUAAGCGGUAAUGCGUUUGACCAAAGCUUGGGGAAAAAACUUUUUAACAAACUCCCUGGAGCCUUAGGAAGAGAAAUAGAGGAAAGAUGGAACAAAAGAGAGGGAGUAAUGACAAAACCCAAAUGCCAACUGGUCUAUAGGACAUAAAAUACAACAUGUCAUGGAAAUAUUACAAGAGAAAUGUACAAAUAUACAAAUACAAAAAUAAUUAAAACAAAAUGAGACUAGUUUUUGUAAGAAUAUAUAUACAACACAAAGCUAUGAUCAAAGUACACCAAAAAGAAAAUACAGAAAGACAUAUCAAAAUAACCAAGACUACAAACCUAGGAAAAGGUAUUAUCUAAGAAAAUCUACGGCAAAAAAACCUUACCUAAAUAAAGAUAGACAUGUAAGAAAACAAUAAUAAUAAUAAUAGAAUUUACAAAAAUAAGACUAUCUUGUUUUACUAUGUGGAAGUGAAGAACAUCUAGCUAAUACUUGUCCAGGUAGAAAUAAUAGUAGAACAAGAAAUGCCCAACUUAUAGAAGACUUCCAAGAAACCCUGAUAAAUGUAGAUGAAUACAAGUCAGAUAAUGAGAGCAUAUAUUUAGUAAUAAGCAUAGAUGCUAUAGAAGGAAGACAACAAGAUUCGUCUGAUUCAGAAGAAGAAACUUUAAUAAACGAGAUAGGAUUAGAAAAAUUAGACUUAAACAUGAAAGAUUUUACCUUUGUUAAUAUACAAUGCGAUCACCAAUUCUCCAAAGCAAAAGGGUUAGAUAGUCAAAAAUGCUUUAAUUGCACAUGAUACCCCAGUAAAGACAGAAGAGCUAAAUGUAUGAACUGCUAUGUAGAGGGAUGCCUUAUGUGCAUCGACAUGAUAUUUAACAUAAAAGUUAUAGACCAAACAAGAAGUACAAAAGAAAAAACAUUAAUAUCUUUAGAAAAAAGGAUUGAUAAUUUAGAGGACAGAAUAAGUAAAUUAGAAAAGGGAAAAGAAAAAUUAGAAGAGGGAACCAACCAAAACACAACGCCAAAAGAGGAAAUCGAGCUCUUAAAUGAAAAGGAGGACUAUAAAUCAUUUGAGGGAUUAAUUUGUAAUGAAGACAAGAAAAUUAAUACUAUCAAAAUAUUAACAAGAAUAAGAAUUCAAGACUACGAAAUAGAAACUUUAGCUCUAGUAGACUCUGGAUGUAAAAGUAUAAUAGAUAGAAGUAUCCUGCCUCUAGAUAUAAUAAAAUAAUUUCCAGAGCCACAAAGCGCCAUGCAAAUGGAUGGAUCUUCAAAUGUAUAUAAACAUUAUGUUAGUAAUGCUCAAAUAAGUUUUUUAAAUACAUGUGAAAACUUUUAUAAACACAUGUAUAGAUUAGAAAAAAUAUGGGUUAGAGACUUAAAUAUUAUAGUAGACUUUGUUUUAGGUUUAGACUUCUUAUUACAUAACAACGGAUGUUGUCGCCUUACUAGAGACGGAGUAAUAUUCUCUAAAAAUAUGACUCAUACCUCAAUAACAACAGAAUCGUUUCCAACGAAAUCUAGGUAUCUUAAAAAUACUGAUAAACUUAAUACAAACACUUCAAAAUGUAAUAAAGGAGAAGAAUGUAAUUAUACUAAGAUACAUGUUAUUGAAGAAGAAAUUGAAUUAUUAGAGCUAAGUUUAUCUGAUAUACAACUAGAGAAAAGUUAUAACUUAAUAGAAAUAAAUACAGAAUUUUAUAAUUUCAAAAAAGGAUUACAACAUAUAGGAGUCAUAAAAAAUCAAAAAGACCUAGAGGAGGUAAUUUCCAUCUUAGAUAAAUUAGAGAUAAUUGGAGAAAGACCUUUAAAGCACUGGGAAGCCAAUCAUAUAACUUGCAGACUGGAUAUCAUUAACCCAGAAUAUACUGUUAAAACUGAUUCAAUAGAAUCCACAAAUGAAGACCUAAAGGAAUUUGAAGAUCAGAUAAAAGAAUUACUAAAUUAGGGAGUGAUAAGAAGAUCAACUUCAAGACAUAGGUCAUCAACAUUUGUGGUAAGAAAUCAUAAUGAAAUAUUAAGAGGAAAAGCUAGAAUGGUAAUAAACUAUAAAAGACUUAAUGACAAUACCAAAAUGGAUGGAUAUAAGUUGCCAGAAAGAUCAAAAUUAAUAAAUCGAAUGCAAGGAAGAAUUUUUUUUAGUAAGUUUGAUUGUAAAUUCGAAUACUGGCAAGUCAAAAUGUAUGAAGACAGUAUAGAAUAGAAAACUUUCACUUGCCCAGAAGGACAUUUCGAAUGGUUGGUAAUGCCCUUCGAUUUAAAAACAGCUCCUCCGAUCUUUCAGAGAAAGAUGGACAAUAUAUUUAGAGAUUAUAAAAAUUUUAUUUUAGUAUAUGUAGACGAUAUCUUAGUAUUUAGUAAUAAUGCCAACAAACAUCUAAGACAUUUACAAACGGUGUUUAAAUUAUUUGUAGACAAUGGAAUUAUAAUUAGCAAAAAGAAAAUGGAAUUAUGUAAAAAACUAACAGUGGUUUCUCCUCCAACAGUCAAGUAACUAGCACUGGUUAUUCCAGCAAGAGCUCUUACUCUAACAGAACUAGUACCGUCAACUCCAAUUGUAGCAGCAGGAAUGUCUUCACCACCAGAUAAAUCUUAUAAAAUUCCUAGGGGUAGAAAUUGGAAAUGGAAAGAUAAAAUUACAACCCCAUAUAGCAAAAAAGGUUCUCGACAUGCUUGAUAAAUUAGAUAAUACUAAAGACUUACAAAAAUUUCUAGGAAUAUUAAAUUAUGCACGAAGUUUUAUAAAAGACCUAGGAAAAGUAACAGGACCCUUAUAUUCUAAAACAGGAAUUCAUAGGCAGAAGACAUUCAAUAUGGAAGACAUAAAAUUAGUACAAAAGCUUAAACAAAUGGUUAAAAAUAUACCAGAUCUAGCCCUCCCACUAAAAACUGACUGCCCAAUAGUGGAAACCGACAAAAGUCUAGAAGGAUGGGGAGCAGAAUUAAAAACAAAGAACAAUAAAUAUAUAGAAAAGAAAGACGAAAAAAUUUACGCCUAUCACAGUGAAAAAUACAAGGAAAAAGGAAACAUGAGUAGCAUAGAUGCAGAAAUUCUAGUAGUCAUAUAUGGACUAAAUAGCUUUAAAUUAUUUAUUAUUAAUAAAAAAGAAAUUUUAGUAAGAACUGACUGCAAAGCUUUUGUAAAAUUCCACCAGAAAAUAGAAGGAAAAAAUAGUAGUAAGAGAAGAUGGCUAAAUUUUUUAGACGCUACAUCAAUAUACAAUAUAUUUUUAGAAUAUAUAAACGGAAAAGAUAAUUCCUUAGCAGAUCAACUAAGCAGACUCAUGAAAACUAAUUAUUUAUUUUCAGAAUGAGUACAUGUAAGAACAAAGACAAGGCAUCCAGUUCAAGUUCAAGUAAUAGUGGGCAAAAAGACAAAGAUAUAUACUUAUAGACAUUAUUGGGAAACACUUCGUUUAGACCACAUACAAGAGAAGAAGAUGCAAGGAUAAAUACUCCUAUAGAAAGACUAUACUUUGGAAGACAAAAUUUAAUAUUUUAUCCUCCAUCUAAUUUAAGUUUCAGAGUAAAGCCAGAAACAAAAAUAGAUAAACAUCAAAGAUGUUUGAUAGACAAUCUAUGGAUAGCAUAUAACAAAAUUUUGAAAGACAAUAGCUAUUUUAUUUCAGUAUUAAACUCAGUAAGUUAUUAUUUUACGGAGAAAAAUGAAGACAAAAAGUUUAAAUUCUACGUAGUAGUUCGAGGAAAGCUAGCAGGCAUCUUCCAGACUUGGAUCGAGGUGAUAGACUCAAUUAAAGACUUUCCUACCCCAUUUUUCAAAGGAUUCAACGAUUUAAAUAAAGCACUAGACUAUGCUAGAGGAACUCUUGGGCCAAAUUAUUUCAUAAGCCCAGCUUUAAGACAAACUUCAAGACCUUUCCUGCAAUACAAUAUUCGAAAGGAUACUGACAAGAUAAUCUUCUGCGAUCAUUGUUCUUCAAUGACUGAAGGAUUCAAAAUACUAAACCAGACAAUUGAGAAACUAGAGACUGAGAAAGGGGAACUGACACAACAUAUCCACUCAUUACAAGAAAAAAUAAGGUUCUUCCUUGGAAAUACUAAUCAAACCAUACCAUUACAAAUACAAGACUACUCAAAAGGACCAAAGAGUUCUCCAUCUCAUCUUAAAAUGGAUAAGACGGGUGUUCAUCCUCCAACGAAUGUAGAAAGAGCUAUUGUAUCAGCUAAAUGUACAACUAGUCCCGUUCAAAUGGUAGCGGGUAAAGAUUCAUCAAAUCCGUUGAUGGCUGACACUUUGCCAAAAAGUGUUAAAAACAAAUUUGAAAAUAUUUGUUAAAAACAAACUUAAUUUUUUUGAAAUUGGGGGGUGGGGGGUCGCGGGUAGGGAGUGGNNNNNNNNNNNNNNNNNNNNNNNNNNNNNNNNNNNNNNNNNNNNNNNNNNNNNNNNNNNNNNNNGGGGAGGGGGUCGAGGGUAGGGGUGGGGUGGGAUGAAAAAUAAAAAAUUUAAAUUGGAAAUAUUUUUUUAAAAAAAAUUAUUUUUUUUGUGGGGGGGAGGGGUAGGGGGUGAGGUAAAAAAAUUUAAAAUUGAAGGCUUUAAAUUUAUUUUUUUCAACAAAAAAAUAAUAAUUGUAAUUUGAAGUUGGAGAGAGUUUUGGAAAACGUUUUUCUUAAUUUUUUGAAAGUAAGUCAUUUUCCUUAAAUUUGAGAAAAAUGAGUUAAUUUGAAAAUCAUUCUCCAAAACGUUUUACCCAACCAAAUAUGAUAAAAUUGAAAUACAUUUUCCGAAAAUGUUUUCCUUCAUACCAAACACACCCAAUAUGAUGAAUCAAUGAUGGAUUAUGGUGAAAUUUACUUUUUUCAUAGAAAAAUAUCAAAGAAUUAUACUAUUCAUGUUUGAUAAAAUAUCCUUCAAUAAGACCUGGUGAAUAUCAUAUGUCUCUGUUUCGAUGCAUCUUAUAAAUCCUAUUGAAAUUCUGUGAGGUUGCUCGUGUCCUUUGGUUGGUGGGCUUAAUUUUUUGAACUGUGAAUGCAUCUUAACAUAAUUUUGAUUUUUGAUGGGUUCUCCAAAUCUAACAAUUUUAUUUGGGAUCCCUUUUUUUAGGGGGAAAGUCUCAAAUGGGAAAUAAAGUUGGCACUUUGAAGAUUUUGAAGCUAGAAUUUGUGAGCUCUCUCUUUGUCUACACAAAUUUCAAACGGCCUGUUAUAGCUUCAAGGUAAUCGUCUUCGGAAAUUUGAAUUCUUUUGGUUCUUAUUUUAAUCUUGCACAAAAGUGUAACAUUUACCCUUUGUUUGGAUCAUUGUUACCCAUUAUAUUGUAUCGUUACUAUACCUACAAUGUUUGUUUUGAUUAUUACUUAAAAUAUAUUGUAUUGUAUUGUUAAAUUUCGUUGUUACGUAACAAUGAAAACCUCUAUUUUAUGGAACAACCAAUUUGGUGUGUUCCCAAUUGUUACUUAAUUUCUUUUUCCAAUUAUAUCUUUUACAUAAUAUUUCAAAAUACUAUUUUAUCCUUUACCUUAUAUUAUUUAAUUCUAAUCAAACCUCCUACUCUACAUAUAUACAAAUGGCUUACAUAUACCAUUUUCCUCUAACAGAGAUGAAAAAAAUUAAUUUUAGUUUAAUUUUUUUUAAAAAAAAAAAAACUAUAAUCCCAUAUGAGUAUAUUUAAUCCUCCUCAAACAUAUAUUUUUUUUGUUUCAAUGACUAAUUUAAAUUUAUUAUUUUAAUGGUCAAAUUUAUUUAUGUUUCACUAAUAUUCUUGUAAAACUUAUUAUUGUUUACAUCUCCGCUUUAUUCAAAUAGGGCGAAACGUCCUGAUGACUCAAAAAAUAAACAAUUGAUUCAAUUUUAAAUUUUUUUUAAGAAAAUAAGAAUUUUAAAGGAGUCACCACCUAAUUUUAGGAAACCAAUUAAAUGAUCUACGAAACCAAGAAAUUUUAGGUAAGGGGUUCAAGUUAAUUCGAAGGAAAAGUGUUAGGCAUCAUUCGAAAUUCACAAUUGUGAGUUCCGACCGAAUUCAUUUUUUCAAAUUGAGGAGGAAGUAAAAAUAGUAUACAAAUAUAACAAACAUACAAUAUACACAAGUAAUAUGAGAAACGACCUAAUAUUUGCCUAUCAUCAAUAAUAUACAUAAUAAUGAUUAUAAUAUUCGAACUUUAUUCGAAUGGCUUCGAUGAGAAACGACUUCGGGGUACCUAUAAAGACACUUAAUAAAAGUGUUAAUACUAAAUAUAUAUGAAUAAAAAUAAAUAAAGCAAAUAAUAACUUAAAAAUAAAAACUCAUCUUAUUAACAUAGGAGGCCUUAGAAAUAGACUGUAAUUUCUUCAUCGGCCAAUUUUAACAAAUAAAAUAUACAAACUUAAAUUAAAUUUUCGUCUUUUGCAAUGUAGAGGCCUCCAAAACCGACGGAAAUUUUUUUUCAUUAGGCAAAUUAUAGCAUUUACUUAACAUGAAUUAAGGAAAUAAUCCUAUAGUAAAAUUGACAAAACCCUUCGGGGUGGCCCAGUGGUUUGGGCUUGGGACUUCCAUGUUGGAGGUCUCAAGUUCGAAACCCCUUGCCAGCGAAAGCAAGGGUUUGCCCUCUGGGUCGAGCUCAUCGCACCGGGCUUGCCUAGUGCGGGUUACCUCUCCUAUGUGGUUUGCGAGCUAUUGCAUAAGAGCGGGGGUUUUACCCUGUGCGCAUCCAAAGGGUAGCAGCUGCGGGUUUCCCUUGUCAUCAAAAAAAAUAAAAUUGACAAACAUUAUAUUUAAACUAGCUCAAAAAGAAUAACAAAUUAAUAACGGACAAUGCACAGAUAAUGAUAAAAUAAUUUCGACACUUUUCUAAAAAAAACAACUACUAGUGCUAACAACAUCAAAGAAAUAAAUAAAUUAAGAAGAAUAAUGGAAGUAAAAUCUGUAAUCUAAACAAAAAUAAAAAUAAAAAAUGAAACCGAACACCACAAUCACAAUAGUAUCUAAAUGAAGUAUAAUCUGUAACCGAUUAAAAUAAUAAUAACAAUAAUAAACAAAAGAGGAAACAAAGGCAUAAUAAUAACAAUAAAAUAAAUCCACAACUUAGAGAAAAUUACAAUACUCAACCUUCUUUAAUUAAUAAUUAGAAAUUACCAUUAUGUGCCACUUUAUACGAAUUGAGAGAAUUAACCACAAAUAAAUAGACUAAUCAAGAAUAGCUAACUAUAGUAUCCAAAAUAAACUAAACAAAAAUAAUGGAUUCGAAAGCACAUUCAUAAACUGUAAACGUAAACAAUAAUAAAAAGAAAUCAAGGAAUAACAGAUACAAAAAUUACCGAUCCCGGUCUGGUUCCUGGCGACUUCGUUGUUUUGAGCUACUAUUCGCCGGAGUUGUUUUGCCAGAGUUCGGAAUGUUGGUUGUUGUUAUUGUUACCUCCUGGAGGAGCUCGUGGGUGGAGCUGGUGUGGUCAGCCUCUGGUUUCGAUGAGUUGGAGCUUGGAGCUCACUGGCUGUUGUUCGCCUGGGCUUCGUGGGUUUUGAGCUACUUCUUGCUGGGGUUGCUGGUUCAACGAGCAAAGGGGAGAACGAGGAUGGGGUUUUGGGUUGGUUUCGCCGGAAAAAGGGUGAAGAGAGUUGGGGUCUUAGUGGUGGUUUUGGUGGUGAUUUUGGCUGAAGGGUGGUGGCGUUUGGGUGGGUUGGAGAGCUGCUGGUUGCAGCAGAGAAAACAGGAGGGGUUUUGGGUCUGUUUGGUUGGCUGAUUUUGUGGAUUUGGGGUCUAUUUGGAUCGUGGUUUUGCCGGAAAAAGAGGUGAACGGAGAUGGUUUGUUGGGUUGGAGUUUCUCGGAGGUUGUUUGGUUGUUGUUAAUGGUUGUUUUCGGUGGCUUUUGGUCUUUGGUGGUGGCUGGAUUGUUGCUGGAAACGAAAAGGGGGGUGAGCACUGGCUCGCCGGAAAUGGAGUUUGAGUGGUGAUGAGGAAGGAGGGUGGCGGCAGCUUUGACAAGAUGAUAGAAAAAUCGUUUUUGGUUUCAGUCAUUUUGAAAUUUUUCACCACUUGGACUAAAAAUAUUGUUCAUCCUCUUCACUUAAUGAAUAAGCUAUUGUUUAUAUAGAAAAUUGAAAAUUAUCUAUAGUAUAAUACGAUUAUCUUAAAAUCAUGGGCUGAAACCAUUAGUUAAAUAAAAUAUUUGUAUAUAAAUCUUAUUUAUAUUUGAAUCAAUUUUUAGACAGUGCAAAAUAUCAAAAUUAAUAUUAGCAAAUGUAACAAAUAAAAAUGAAUAUUAUUAAAAAAAAGGAAAGUAAUGAACGUAACAAAUGACAUGUAUAAAGUGCAAUUUAAUAGAAAUAACUAUUUAAUCAAGAUGAACAAAUAUUUGAACGUAUUUAACCAGCUAUGACAAAAAAUAAUGAAAUUAAAAUUAACUGAUAAAAAAUCCUAAAUUUUGACAAAUAAAAAUAAUUAUCGAUAAACUUAUUUAAAAUUAUAAAAAAUGUAUUUUGAACAAUUAAAUAAAUAAAACUUAAAAGUUACGAAUUUUGAAAAUGUUAGGUCAAAAUUGGGUGUCAACAAUUAUAGAUGACCUUUUUUUUUUCUUCAAAUACAAAAAUUAAAUUACAAUAUAGACAAAAAAAAAAUUGUUUUAAAUUAUAAUAUAGCUGCAAAAAAAUAGUUUUAAUUUUUUUUUCUUUACACCAAGGAAUGAAAGAAAAAAUAAAAUAAGAAUAAGAAACUAAAAUAAUGAAAAUCAAAGAAGUCAAAAAAUAAUUUAUGUAUGAAAAAAAUUGAAAUAUACCUUGAACUUUGCAGAAGAAUCUUAUAUAUCCCUAAAUGAUUUUUAAAACAAUUAAAAGUCAAAAAUAUAAAUUUAAAAUUAAUUUUUUCACUUCCGUUAAAUGAAGAUAUAUGUGAGCUCAUUUUGUAACGAUAGGGUAUAUGUGAGCCGUUUAUAUAACAACAAAGGUAUAUAUGAGUCACUUUCAUAACGAGGACAUAUCAACUCUAAAUAAAAAAAUUGACAGGUAUAUCAGACCCUUUUCCCUAGAAAAAAUAAUACCUUAGAGAAAAGGAAAAUGGAACAGAAUCCAAUUCUUCACAAUUCUAAAACGUAUUCAUGAUAUGCUAGGCCAAACUAAGCACUACAAUGAGCUGUUGAAAAAUGGACAAGUGCACAAAGCAAAAAGUAACGAAUAGACAUAAAGCAAAAGAUACCUUCCUCAAUUAUUCAAUUAGUGGAGUCAUACUUUUUGAAAAGAGAAACGAGGACAGUUUUGCUUCUUGUAGAUUAGCUGAAACAUAGUUGUACUAAUUUCAAGCAAUCACUGAUCAUUCUUGUUUGCAAAUUACUCUCAACAUUCAACAGGUAAAGUAAGUUCUAUCUUAGUAGUUGAAGAUAGAAAAAUUUAUCUUCUCAUCAAAAUCAUUUUGUGUUUCCUUGUUUUGAUUUGCAGAUUUCAGAAAUGGAGGUUGGCUUAGCAGUUGGUGGUGCAUUUCUUCUCUUCAGCUUUGAAUGUUCUCUUUGAUAGGCUUGCUCCUCAGGGUGAUCUUCUCAACAUGUUUCACAAGCAUAAGCAUCAUGUUCGGCUCUUCAAGAAGCUGAAAAUGACUUUACUUGGUCUUCAAGCUGUUCUAAGUGAUGCAGAGAAUAAGCAGGCAUCAAAUCAAUUUGUGAGCCAGUGGCUUGAUGAGCUUCGAGAUGCUGUGGACAUUGCUGAAAACUUAAUUGAACAAGUCAAUUAUGAAGUUUUGAGGCUUAAGGUUGAAGGUCAGCAUCAGAAUCUUGCAGAAGCAAGCAAUCAGCAAGUAAGUGACCUUGACCUGUGCUUAAGUGAUGAUUUUUUUCUUAACAUAAAGGAGAAGUUGGAAGACACCAUGGAAACAUUGGAGGAUUUGGAAAAGCAAAUUGGCCGCCUUGGCUUAAACGAGCAUUUUGGUUCGACUAAACAAGAAACUAGAACACCUUCAACUUCUUUGGUUAAUGAAUCUGAUAUCUUUGGUAGGCAGAGCGAAACAGAGGAUUUGAUUGACCGUUUAUUGUCUGAAGAUGCAAGUGGAAAAAAUCUGACUGUAGUUUCUAUUGUUGGAAUGGGUGGCGUGGGUAAGACAACACUUGCUAAAGCGGUUUACAAUGAUGAGAGGGUGAAGAACCAUUUUUGUUUGAAAGCUUGGUAUUGUGUUUCUGAGGCAUAUGAUGCUUUCAGAAUAACAAAAGGGUUACUUCAAGAAAUUGGCUCAUUUGACUUAAAGGAUGACAACAAUCUUAAUCAGCUACAAGUCAAAUUGAAGGAAAGCUUAAAGGGAAAGAAGUUUCUUAUUGUAUUGGAUGAUGUGUGGAAUGAAAACUACAAUGAGUGGGAUGACUUGAGAAAUAUUUUUGUACACGGAGAUAUAGGAAGUAUGAUAAUUGUAACGACACGUAAAGAGCGUGUUGCCUUGAUGAUGGGUAGUGGGGCAAUCAACGUGGGGACUCUGUCUGAUGAAGUCUCUUGGGAACUAUUCAAACGACAUUCACUAGAAAACAGGGAUCCUGAGGAACAUCCAGAACUUGUAGAGGUUGGAAAACAAAUUGCACACAAGUGCAAAGGAUUGCCUUUAGCUCUAAAGGUACUUGCUGGUAUUUUACGCUGCAAAUCAGAGGUGGAUGAGUGGAGAGACAUUUUUGAGAAGUGAAAUAUGGGAGCUUCCAAGUUGUUCGAAUGGUAUAUUACCAGCGCUAAUGUUGAGCUACAAUGAUCUUCCUGCACAUUUGAAGCAAUGUUUUGCUUAUUGUGCAAUAUAUCCUAAAGAUUAUGAAUUUUGCAAAGACCAAGUUAUUCACUUGUGGAUUGCUAAUGGUCUUGUACAUCAGUUGCAUUAUGGUAACCAAUACUUUCUCGAGUUGAGAUCAAGAUCACUGUUCGAAAGGGUCCCAAAGUCUGCAUGGAAACUGGAAGUAUUCUUAAUGCAUGACCUUGUCAAUGAUUUGGCCCAAAUUGCAUCUUCAAAUCUUUGUAUAAGGUUGGAAGAGAACAAAGGAUCGCAUAUGUUGGAACAAUGUCGGCACAUGUCCUAUUCAAUAGGAGAAGGUGGUGAGUUUGAGAAAUUGAAAUCACUCUUUAAAUCAGAGCAGCUGAGGACAUUACUUCCAAUCAAUAUGCCUUUCUAUUGCCAAAAUAAGCUAAGCAAGAGGGUGCUGCAUAACAUUUUGCCAAGACUAACAUCCUUAAGGGCAUUAUCGUUGUUACGCUAUGAAAUUGUUGAGUUGCCAAAUGACUUAUUUAUCGAAUUAAAGCUCCUGAGAUUUUUGGAUAUUUCUCGGACAAAGAUUAAAAGGUUGCCAGAUUCCAUUUGUGUGUUGUAUAACUUAGAGACACUUCUCCUUUCAUCUUGUGAUUAUCUUGAGGAGCUACCGCUGCAGAUGGAGAAGUUGAUCACCUUGCGUCAUCUUGACAUAAGCAACACUCGUGCCUUGAAGAUGCCACUAUAUCUGAGCAAGUUGAAAAGCCUCCAAGUGUUAGUGGGAGCCAAGUUUCUCUAGGUGGUUCGAGAAUGGAAGAUUUGGGUGAAGUACAUAACUUGUACGGAUCUCUAUCAGUUGUAGAGUUGCAAAAUGUGGUUGAUAGUAGGGAAGCUGUGAAGGCAAAAAUGAGAGAGAAGAAUCAUGUUGAGCAGUUAUCUUUGGAGUGGAGUGGAAGUAGUAGUGCCGACAAUUCACAAACAGAAAGAGACAUACUUGAUGAGCUACGCCCACAUAAAAACAUAAAAGAAGUCGAGAUCACCGGAUAUAGAGGGACAACAUUUCCAAAUUGGCUAGCUGAUCCUUUGUUUCUUAAUCUAGUAGAGUUGUCUAUUGAUAACUGCAAGAACUGUUAUUCCUUGCCAGCACUAGGACAACUCCCUUGUUUGAAAUUCCUUUGGAUUAGAGGGAUGCAUGGAAUAACAGAGGUGACGGAAGAAUUCUAUGGCAAUUUGUCCUCCAAAAAGCCUUUUAGCUCUCUUCAGGAGCUUGGAUUUGUUGAUAUGCCGGAGUGGAAGCAAUGGAACAUACUAGGAAUUGGAGAGUUCCCUAUACUUGAGAACCUUUCAAUUAUAAAUUGCCCUGAAGUCUGUUUGGAGAGACCCAUCCAACUUUCAUGUUUAAAAAGGUUUGCAGUUUGUGGUUGUCCUAAGGUUGGAGAAGCUCAAAUGUUUAGAUCCCAACUUGAGGGAAUGAAGGAGAUUGAGAAUUUAGAAAUUAGUGAUUGUAACUCUGUUACCUCCUUUCCUUUUAGCAUACUGCCCACUACCUUGAAGAGAAUAACCAUAUAUCGUUGCGAGAAAUUGAAAUUGGAGGUGCCAGUUGAUGAGAUGAGUAUGUUUCUGGAGGAAUUGACACUGUAUAAAUGUGAUUGUAUAGAUGAUAUAUCACCUGAGUUUUUCCCAACAGCACGCCAUUUGAAUGUAGAGGAUUGCCACAACCUUACUAGGGUUUUGAUUCCUACUGCCACUGAAAGACUCACUAUUUUGAAUUGUGAGAAUCUUAAAAUACUUUCGGUUGCAUGUGGGGGAACCCAGAUGACAAUUUUGUAUAUUGAGGGCUGUUGGAAGCUGAAGUGGCUGCCAGAACGUAUGCAGCAACUCCUUCCAUCUCUUAAGGAACUGUAUCUCUAUAAUUGUCCAGAAAUAGAGUCCUUUCCUGAAGGAGGAUUGCCCUUCAAUUUACAAGCCCUUUGGAUCAGAAAUUGCAAGAAACUGGUGAAUGGCCGAAAGGAGUGGAGUUUACAGAGACUCUCCUGUCUCAGAGAGUUAUCCAUCGUACAUGAUGGCAAUGACGAAGAGAUUGUUGGUGGUGAGAAUUGGGAGUUACCUUCCUCUAUUCAAAGACUUACCAUAGAGAAUCUGAAAACAUUAAGCAGCCAACAUCUCAAAAGCCUCACCUCUCUUCAAUAUCUAUGUAUUCGUAAUUUACCUCAAAUUCAGUCACUGCUGGAACAAGGGUGGCUUCCCUCGCCUCUUUCUGAGCUACGUUUAUAUCACCAUCAUGAGCUCCAUUCACUAGGUCUUUGGCACCUCACUUCGCUUCAAAUUCUACACAUCAUUAAUUGCCCUAAUCUCCAAUCACUUUCCGAAUCAGCACUGCCCUCUUCCCUCUCUAAACUACAUAUUCGCGACUGCGCAUUGCUCACACCACUACUAGAAUUUGACAAGGGGGAAUACUGGCCAGAAAUUUCUCAUAUCUCCACCAUACAGAUCAAUGAGGAAUACCUUUAAUGAUUAAAACAACUGUAAGUUUUUCUUUUUCCUCAUAAGCCUUUUAUUAUUUUUUCAACUUCUCUUUGCUUUUAUGUUAAUGCUUUUUCUUUAUUACAUUCUUGUUUCGCAGUAUGGAGUGUCUAUUGCCACUAUGAAGCUGAUGAUUUUAAUUUUAGAACUCAAUAGCAAUUAAUGUUACAUAUCUUACUCGAAGAUUUUUAUCGCUUGAACUUUCAUCUCAAUAGCAAGUCAUGUAUACUUGUUCUUUCCCUUUUCAGUGAGUUUAGAGUGAUGCACAUGUCCACUAUCAAAUUCAAAACUCUUAAUAGAAUUCAAAGGUGUACCAUACACAAGAUGUGUUUCAGUGAGUUUAGAGUGAUGCACAUGUCCACUAUUCAGGUUUUUAUUAAUGAUUCAGCCCCAUCGUAGAGAUCGAUUGGGAAUACCUGUGAUGAUUAAAACAAAUGGCUCUCCAACUGAUGUAAGUUAUUCUUUUCCAUCAGAAGCUUUUUAUUUUUGUUUUCAUUUUGCUUUUUUGUUGAUUCUUUUCCUUUAUAAAACCUUGUUGAGCAGUGUAGAAUGCCUAUUGCUCAAAUCAUAAAUCUUGAUUAGGAGAACCCUGUAAUGAUUAAAACGAGUUCUGCUCCGAUAGAUGUAAGUUAUUCUAUUUCCUUAAAUGUAACUAAUAUUCACUGGAUAUUCUAUUUCCUUAGUAUAUUUUGAUUGAGAUAAUUUGCUCAAGAAAGUUGAUUGCUUAAUAUAUGUUAUCACCUUUGGAGAUAUAGGGUCCAAGAAAUGCAACCUCACUUUCUCAAUCAGGUAGCCAACACAUUGAUAAAAGUUAUAUCAAGCUUCAAAUUUAAAGAAAUUGAAAACGACUUUGAAUAUCUGCUUCCAUUAUUUUACGCCAUGUUGUACCACAUUGAUUUCAAGUUUGAUUCCACUGCAUAAUUACAUCAGUUUUUUUUUUGUUUUGAUAUUCAAUUAUCUAGAAUAUUACAUCACUUUUUGGUUUUGAUAGUCAGAGAACUUUGAAGAUUAUGAAGUUUCCUUCAAAUUAAGCCCAUUACUCAACCUCGAGUGACACCUCAGAGCUAGCGGAAAGUCAAGAAAGUUUAUCCUGCUCGGGAUGAAGUUAAUGUUAGAUAACAAAAUAAUGAUUUACUCGUGUUUCAGUUACUAAGAUUCUUAUUUUGUAGUAAUAUUUUGGACUCUCAUAACUCAGUGACAUGGAUUUCCUUCAUUGGCACCCUCAUCAGUCAUCAAUCAGUGAAACAGAGAAAUCGACUGUUUCAAAACUCUCUGAAACCCAUUUUGAGCUUCAUGCCUUCAAUUCCGAUGAAACCCAAAAGGCAUCAACAGAGUAGAAGAAUUCAACCCAAAACCCAUUUCAACCCAAGUUUUCUAUUCCUGCUUCACCUGAUAGGAAGAAGUUUACGUAUGAGAAAGGUCUAAAGGUACAAAUAUUUUUUCUUCUCCUUUUCUUACUGUGGUGCUUAAAUUGGUUUUGUCCCACUUUGCAUCACAAUGAUGUUGGAGUAUAUCGGUUUUCUACUGGUAUUCAGAUACUUAAAAUGGAAAAUUGCUUUGGAAAAUAUCGUUUCAUUGUUCGAAAGUUGUUUAACAUACAAUUGGCAUCUGUUGAUCCAAUUUUUUCAUUUUUCUGUUAAUCUUCUUCUAUCCUUAGUUUACAUGUCUUCUGAUUGAGUUAUAAUACAUGCCUUGAUUCUAUUGAAGAUGAGAAAUCGUCAAAUGCCUUUAUGAAGUGUUUGCUAAGUUGAUGUCGCCUAAUUCACAUUUCACUGAAUUAAUUUCUGACCCAAGUUUAUGCAUAUGUUUGGUCUAACAUUGAAAAGGAAAAAUGUCGAAUGAUAUGGAUAUUUUUGUUUUUAAGAAUACAAAGUCACUAUAAAGGUAGAAAAUUUCGAUGGUAUUAAUUUUGAUAUGCAUCACCAUUGAGAACUUUGCCUGAGGUAUUAAUUUCUAUUUUCGCUGUUUAGAAAUGUUUAAUGUAACUCCUAAUUGUGAUGCUUCAUUCACACAUUUUUGAAAUAUAUUACAUAGAAAAUAUGCUUCUAUCCAAGGAAAAUUAUAUCUGCCUAGCUCUAACCUCCAGUACGUGUAUUCAUGAAUAAAAUGAUAGAAAAUGGAAACAAGGAAGGAAAACAUGUGCUGUUUGUUCUCGAUUUUUAAAUAUUGUAUCCUCUUUCGCUUCUGUUUUUCAUUUGCUCUCCUAGCUAAUAGUCUUUUAUUUACUGAAUAAUCAUAUGUUAUAUGUCUCCUUAAGUUCCUGUAUUUUUUAUUUCACAAACUUCACAUAAGCAUACAAGUAAUUGCAAUAGUUUAUUUGUGCUUCCAGAUUCGUUUAGUGUGAGGUCUGAUUUUUCUUUUUCCUUUUACAGCUAUUAGGAAAAGCUUGCCUAUGUGGCUCUUGACUAUGAGCAGGAGAUUGAAACUGCCAGGAGCAGCUCCUCCACUGAAAAGAACUAUGAAUUGCCUGAUGGACAAGUUAUUGCCUUUGGUGCUGAGAGGUUCCAUUGCCCAGAGGUCCUCUUCCAGCCAACGAUCCUUCCCGUGCGUUGAUCGUGGAUAAGACACUCAGAAGAAGAAAAGAUGACACGAAGAUGGUUAGCUGCAACAUGACUGACAGAAAUUUCUUUAUAGGAGGAAAAUGGAAUCUAUCAUGAAGAAUCCGGGAUGAAGACAUAGACCCACAGUGUGAAAGAGGUAAGAGAGUUUCAUCUACAAUGUUAACAGAAACUUUAAUAGGUAAAGGAGGCAGACAAUAGCAAUUGAUUAUCGUUUAGUGAUUAUCUUGCUUGUUAUAAACAUCAGGAGCAUUUGAUGGUAAGAUGUCAUAUAUCUUGGUAUCUAACAGGUACCCUGGGGUAUUAAUGAGUGAGGUUGAGGAUGGAAAGCCAUUCAGCCAAGUUGUUAAUGCUGCUAAAAGCCUUGGCUACACUAUUAAUGUUUGUAAAAUCACCAUAUAUAUGAGAAUUGAAGAUAUGACUUACAAAAACAGAAAGUUGUCGAUUGAAUAUAUGAUAUUGUCUAUUCAUAAUUAUGUGUAGUCUUACAUUUUUGUUUAUAUGUUGCUCUUUCUAUGAGUAAUUUCCACUCGUUUUCCUGUCAGGCAAGUGUUCCUCUGGUACAAUAAUAUUUUCUGGCCUUCUGCUUAGGAAGUUUGUCUAGGACUAAUUUGAAUGUGAGAGAAGUCAGAGAAACACGAGAAGCGAUUAAGAGAAUGUGUAAUACAAAUGUCUUACACAUGAAUUCUUCUUUUAUAUGCUCACUUUACGGUGCAUCUUCAUACAUUUGUCCAAUGUGGUGAACAUGCACAUACAACUCUAUAUUACAAUUAUCUCUUGUUAUUUACAUUUAGCUAUCUGAUUCUCCCCUCUAGCUGGUGCGUACAUGUAACCUGUAUAGGAUUUGAUGAAUAUGUCUAUAAGUUGAUCGGUCGACUUUCCAAACUUUAUAAGAGUGUCGUGAAAGCAUUUUUUGGGGAAGGGACAGUCGGUUUCUAUAUGCUUGGUCCUCUUGUCAGAUUCUGCAUACAAUGGAUACAAGUACAACUUGAUUAAUUAUCACACUCAAGUUUUGUUAUGAUCAAAUUUCAAUUGUUAGAGAAAAAUGUAUCUCAGGUUUAACUCUGCCCAAAAGUUACCUCAUGACAUGCGGAUUGCCAAAGAUCACAUAAAGAGAUUACAACAAAACAUCCUCAACUGAAGUGAGACUAACAUCUUAAUUCUUAUCGCUUGCACAGGGCGGAACAUAUGAAGUAUGUAUAACAUAACACAGGGGGGCUUAACAUUGGGUAAUAACUAAACACUAGGGAUGAGCUUGAGUGAGAUAUCAUUAAGAAAAUGGACUUUGUGCCUAACCCAGUCCAGAAAGCUAGUCCAAGAUCAUAUAAGGGUACCUUUAACCAAUGUGGUAAACUAACAGCAACCAUUUUCGAUCCUUUUGGUGGUUGUUAAUCUAUGUGCUCAUCGUUACCAUAGUCAUGACCCAAUAUUCUCUUUCUUCUAUAUUGCCCAAUUGCCUGAAAGUAUUAUAGUAUUUAGAAGUAAAACGUAUAUAAAGAAGGUAUCACUGUCCAUUUUGCAUCGUAAUUGUCUUUGAUUUUUGUUGAUAAUCCUUUCCAAGAGCAGGCUUCCUACCCCAAAAUUCUGUUUCCAGCUGGAUUAUAUAAGAAAUUUGGAGCCAUUCAAAACUUCUAAGGAGAUUCUAGUUCCUGUUCUAAUAAAGAAAUAAUGUCUUCAAUGCAUUGUCAAGAUGCAGUCAAUUUUCUAGCAGCAGUUAGCAGGAACCGUACAUCCAUCCCAAAAUAUCAUUAUGGAAGAAAUCGCUGACACUACACUUCAUCUCAAUUCUCAUUAGGAUAGUUGAAGUAUGAAGUUAUUCUUAUGUAUUUAUACUUAUCUGCAGAUCCUCGGGAUGAUCUAGGUGGUAUGGAUGCAGCAAGAAAGGUUAGGAAACGUCUUUCUUCUGAUUAAACUUACAGUGUCCAAGAUUUCAAUCCAUUUAUAUUGCCAAAUUAUUAUGCUGAUUAAGCAUUAUCUUUCUUUUUUCUUUAUCUGAACUUACCUGCAGUCUUACAGUAUGCAUAAUUGAUACAAUUAUUCUAUUUUGCAAAGGCUGGCUAUGAUAUUAUGUAAAAAGGCUGGCUAUGAUAUUAUGUGAAAAGAUCUGAGCUUCCAAUAUUGGAGACCCUAUAACCUUUAAAAUCCUCUGUUCAACCCAUAUGCAACAACUAUAUAACUCAACUGGAAAUGGCUAAGAAUCAAAUAUACGAUACUCCAAGACCACUCAAUUCUUUGUUUAUAAGCCAACAUAAACAAUAUGAUACAAUUAUUCUGUUUUGCAAUGUCAACUGCAACGAGUCUGAACCAUUGAAUUAACCAUCUAAAAGAACGUAAUUAAAAGUAAAUUUUGAAAAAAGAACGAAAAACUAGUUGAGUGAUUGGUGAUUAUCAUUUGCUUAUUCUGUUUUUUCCCCUUAUCAUGGUUACUUGUAAGUAUAAUCUCGUAAGGAAAAAAAACAUUCAAGCCAGUCCCAUCUGGAUAUAAAAUUCAAGGUUUCUUCUAGUCUGUGAUUCUGCUAUUCUCUUUUGUAUCAUGAAAAGUGUCUCGUUAGCUAUAGUCAUAUGUGCAUGAGAGUGUAGAGGGAGCAUCUCUGCUUCAUAUUUCAAGUACUUUGUUAUAAUCUUUCCUUAAUUUGUAUUUGGGAUGAUGAUGUCUUUGGGGGGUAGAAAAGCUGUGAUUAAGCCAGAAUCAUUUUCGCAGAUUGCGAUGGGAAGCAUAUCUUAUCCAACUUAAUAUAGUUAAUACUUGGUUUCUCGGUACCUUUCAUGAAACGUUCAUAGUUCUAAUUGGUUCUGUAAAUUUUGAGAAGUUGAACAUCCCUCAUAACAAUAUUUUGUUUUGAUGUCUUCAUAACAGGCUCUAAUUCUUGCUCGGCUCCUUGGACGACGUUUAAACCUAGAUAAUAUGAAGGUUAGGAUACAUGUCACCAUGUCUCUUUGUUUUGUUACUAGCUCAAUUAGCUUCAGAAACCUUGAUGCAUAUGCAAAUCCCUUUUCAGAUUGAAAGCUUGUAUCCUGAAGAAAUGGGACCAGAUGUGAUGCCUCUGGAAGACUUUCUAGUGAAUGGCCUUCCCUUACUUGAUAAGAAAAUUGAAGAUAGGACUAAACAAGCUUGAAUUUUCUGCGUUAGUUUGCUUGAUGAUGAUGCGUGGUAAUUCUUUCACUUCAUUUUUAGUUUGCUCAAUGGAUAAUGACAACUUGAUCUUUUAUUCUAAUCACAUUCUGCAAGUCACCAUACCUCUAGCAGCUUAAAGCAAAGCUUGCUCACUGACGGGAGUGUUAUGGUCAGUUGUUCACCUCUCGUAUCCACGACCAAUUAAAGAACGAGUUAGAAGUAUAAAUCUGUAAUGGCAUAGAUGAGGGAACAUUGAACUAUCUUUAAAUGAUAGUUCCAAAAUAUUUUCAUUAAUUAGUUCUUUUUUCAUGUAUUUAGGGUUGGGAAGGUGGCAGAUGGGUAUGCAGAAUUAUCAUAUUUUUUUCUUGAGACUUAUGUUGAGAAAAUUGUUAUAAGCUCUUGUAUUUAGUAUAACAUCAAUUGAAAAUUGGGAAGCAAAAACUUGUCGGCUCAUUCUACAUAAGACCUAUGUUUGGAUUUACAAAAACAACAUACCCAAUGUAACCCCACAAGUGGGGUUUGGGGAGGAUAGGAUGUAUGCAGACCUUGUCUGGAUUUGUUUGAAUAUAAUUCACUAACAUGUUCAUAUGGUAAUGAUGGGUUCGUUUGGAUGCAAAAUGGCAAUGUUAUCCAUACUAGUAGAAACUUAGAAUCUAUCUUUGGUUUCUUUAAGCGGUUUGGUCUCACCUUGUAAGGUUUGAAGUUUCAUUUCUUGUAUUGUCUUGAACAAGUGUAUAUCAAGGAGUAUUUAUUAACUUGUUGGUUGAAGAAAAAAAAUAGAUAUUUCUGUUUAUUGGUUUUUGUCUUCUUGAUAAGUGUCUACUUUAGAACUAUUAUGAAUUGUUCUAGCAAAAUCAACUGCUACAAACAGCUUCACUGAAAACAAAUAGCACAGAAGAAAGUGUCUGGCGGUCUGCUGCUUGGGGAAAAAUUGAUUAUUGAAAACACUUUUGUGUACAUGACAUUAACAUCACUCAUUUUCAGAUAUGAAGUUGGCAUCCAAGAAGUUCCAAAAGAUUUUGCAUUGGGAAGAUUAAGAGGAAGUGAUAAUGUGGUGCGCAUUGUGCACUUUCACCUCCCAUUUUGCUGUUUCUUUGGUCCCUCUUCUUUUUGUUCCAUUACUUUGUUUUCCGUUGGGAAUUUUCUUUUAACUGCUAUGGAGGUUCAACCAUAUCAUACUCGUCGUUAUUAGAUUAUCAAGGUAAAACAUUUUUAAUUGUUUAAAGCCCUUUUGUGAUGUCAUUUUUGUAGUGAUGUAUUACAUCAUGCUGUGAUUUUAAAGAAUUGCUCAUCUUUUACCCAUGCCUAAGGCGAACGCUUUACUUUGUCUUUACUCUUUACACAUCAUCUGGUGUCGCCCUGCAAAACUUUGUGCAGUUAAGGUCUUUGAUUCUAUUCUACCUUAAUCGUAGAAUGUAUCCCUUGUACUAAUUAGGAGGUAAUACAAACAGUAAGAUUAAUGACUUGGUUUUGUCGAAGAAUGACUAUGAUGAUUGAACGUCUGUAAUUUGGAUUGUUUGUCUACAGGUGGAGAUAUACAGCCGUUGUUACGAGAAACAACCUUUGGUUAUCCAAGGCGCUGGAGCAGGAAAUGAUACCACAGCAGCUGGUGUCCUAGCUGAUAUCCUUGACAUUCAAGAUUUAUUCCCUUGACCGAGUAUUAUACACUGAGAUACAAACAUUCGAUCCUCAAAGGAUGAAAAAUCGACUCUUCUUGUCCCUCUGCUUCAAUCAUUGAAGACUGAAAUCAGGCUCAUUUAGCACAUCCAUUUUUUGAAAAAAAAUUCGACACGUGAGAGUGCGUUGUCAGUUUAUGGAAAAUUAUUGCACGAUUUCUCGCGUCUAUCUUGUCACUAGUGAAAUUGAUCAUAUAUUUGCCUCAUUGCUUGACUAGUUUUUAAGAUUUCACUUCAGCUUAUAAUCAGUUUAUGUUGUAAUGACCAUUUUGGUACCUAAACUUUUUAUGUUACUACAAUUUUAGAGACUUAGUUAUUAUGCUUUCAGAAUAACAAAAGGGUUAAUACAACGUGUAGGAUGACUUGAGAAAUCUUUUUGUACAAGGAGAUAU